rnacentral:snRNA from 1 species
GGAUGUGAAAAUAAUCUGGCUGUGACAUGUGUCACCCCAUUGAUCAUCAGGGUUCAUUCAGCUGAUCUGGCUGGCUAGGCAUAUGUCCCCUUCCUCCCUCACUGCUCCAUGUACUUCUCUCUCAGAGCUGCACACUCGGUCAAGGAAGAUGACUUUCCCCAUAGAGGAGGAACAUUCUUUGGUCAAGGUAUAUGAGUAGCUGCAUUCCCCUGCUAGAACCUCCAAACAAGGUCUCAGGGUCCAUUUGUAGGAGAAUUUAGGGUAGUCAAGCUCCCAAGACCCCAGACACACCCAAAUGAGGCACUGCAUGUGGUAAUCUGCCAGAAAGA